UUAGAACAAAACAAUAGCAAUUAAAGCCCGUCCCAUAUCUAGUAAAAGCUGAAUGGAAACAGUUGAUAAAGGAGGAUAUCUGCCAAGAAAUGUGGAGAGCAGCAGCACCUUUAAUAUUCAUCGUGGGACUGCCAUACAGAAUUAAGG